UACGUAGGGGGCGAGCGUUGUCCGGAUUUAUUGGGCGUAAAGAGCUCGUAGGCGGUUCGAUAAGUCGGGUGUGAAAUCUCCACGCUUAACGUGGAGGGUGCAUUCGAUACUGUCGUGACUAGAGUCCGGUAGAGGAGUGUGGAAUUCCUGGUGUAGCGGUGAAAUGCGCAGAUAUCAGGAAGAACACCGAUGGCGAAGGCAGCUCUCUGGGACGGUACUGACGCUGAGACGCGAAAGCGUGGGGAGCGAACAGG
rnacentral:rRNA from 1 species